AUGCACGGAUUUUCCUCCCCUGAUUAUAUCCCAAUUAACUACCAUCUUCUCUCUCCUCAUCCCCCAGAGGCUCUAGCGAACUCGCUGGAGACACUCGACGCCGUAUCCCACACACGUUCUCCCCCUCACUCCAUCUAUAAUCAAGGUGCUCGCCGGAGCAUCUUUGCCGGAUGGGCAUAGCAUCGAUUCGGUUGUAUUCCAGCCGGUCGGGCUACUCCAACAACGCCGCCGCCUAGCCGGAGCCGGCAACCAUCCAACUGGCCUCCGGCUGCCGAGCUCAUCCACCGCCGAUGUCGCCCAGCCAAAGCCAGCGGCUGUCCAACUGGCCUCCGGCUGCCAGGCUCCUCCAGCACCGUCGCCACCCAGCCGGAGUCCGUGGCCGUCCAACUAGCCUCUGGCAGAAAGCAGGCCACGCAACCGGCGGAUGUGUGGGGGGAGCGCUCAUAUACCAGAGUAUAUUGAACUUGAAACAAUCAUGCGACCAUGAGGUCACGCAGCGAGACAACAGCACGACCACUUCAUCAGUUCACGUGAAGUCAUACUACGGUGGAAAUAAUUCUGCAAGACAUUAGUUACUUUUUUCUUGUUCUUGUAAGCUAUGCACUACUGAAGCUAGUAUGAUGAAUAAUUGAACUAAUUAAUUUAUUGUGCUCUAACAUAAUGGACAUUCGGGCUUCAAGAUACCAAACCUGAAGUUGGGGAUUGCCAUUGAAGUGGAGGAAUAGAGGAAGGCAGUAAAUUAUAAAAACAAAUUUAUUUAAAUAUUUUGCUUCCCAAUCAACUUGUCAAAUGCUUACUUUCCUGUUGUACAAAUAACUGUGAUUUGUAAGAUGCCAUAUGUAUUACAGCAAAUAUUUACAGUUCAUGUGUCAUUCA